GCUGAUUGUUCGUAAUUGUGGGCGCUUUUAUUUUAAUCUUUUUGUUCAUGAGUUUCUGAAUCUGUCUGGCAGCUCCUAAGGAUUUAAUUACUUAAAUAACUCAAAAUAGUAUAUUUAACAUAACUUCCAGCAAAACACGUUUUUGACUGCGCCCCUAUGAAAUCAUAAGCGGGGCUUACUGUCUUACUUAAUCUUACUAUAGAUUAUAGAAACAUGACAAAGGGGCUUUGUUACUGACAUAUUGUGUCAAUGAUUACGAAUGCGUGAACAUGGCAAGGAGAUAAAUAGGUUAUAUGUUCACCGUCUCAUCUCUUGUUAUUCGCUGAAGAAGUGUUUGAAUUAUAAAUAAUUAUAUAAUAUAUAUGGAAAAUAUAUAUGAAAGCGGAUAGUAAAAACCAACUAAGUAUGAAUCGAUUGAUGGAAUUCAGUCCAACUGGGAUGCGAUGGCAAUAAAUUUGGACAAAGCUGAAGCCUUCGAUCGGGCGCGACAGACAGCCCCUUGUGCAAUCCUGGAAUGUGAGGCUGUGGCUAAUCAACGCAC